UUGUCAACUGAUAACUUUUUUGUUAAAUAUUUUUCUAUUGCUUUGUAAUUAAUUCGUUAUCAAUAUCAUUAAAAUGAACCGAGAUAUAACCUUUCAAAAUGAUGUGUGCAAUAGAGGAUAUACGAUACUUGAGGAUAGAGCGGAGUUUAUGAGAAGAUCAAUAAAGAAUAAUGAAGCUUUGAGAUGUUAAAUUAAAAAUGCUGUCAAUUAUACGACUAGAACGAG
ensembl:ncRNA C47G2.10 ncRNA